rnacentral:tRNA from 1 species
AGUUUUAUAUUUUAUAUAAAUUGUUAAAUUGCAAAUUUAAAGAAGAUUUUUAAUCUAAGACUU